UUUGCUUGCCUGUUCACCCGUCACCAGUCAUGUUUCAUUACCAGGCCUCAGUCCUCCACCUGUCGGCCUGUCUGUCUCUCUGUGCGGCCCUGAACGUGGACGUCCUGCAAGGUUAACGUGGACGUGCAUGCUCGGAUGUAGCACGGAGCUCAAGGGUUAAAGCGAGCGUCAGUUUGAUUCGUUCAGAGGGAAGCUUUGUGCAAAUGGUGUUAAUGUGGCUUUUCCAGGUACAAAGAAAGAUUAAUGUGUAUACCCAGUACAUGCAGAUGCAGCUCACUUUGUCUCUGUUUAUAGGACAUGACCAAGUAUCUGGACACAGAAACCCACUGGCAUAAUGGACUGGUGAUAAUGAUGCACUCUGAAUGCUUUCCCUGCACCACUCUGGCUCUUCUGCUCUCUUGUAAAUGUUUUUCUCCCCUGCUUGUUCUCCAGGCUAAUGAAUCUAAAGCUGGUGGGAAUAGUCUGGACGGAUGAGACACCCCCACCACCACCACCACAGCCAUCACCUCCUUCCAGCCUGUUCAGGGCCUUAAUUUCUGCUCCACAGUGUCUUCACACCCCGCGCCACUGCUGUAAAUCUUUGCUUUCUAGAGUGGGAAGAAAAGAGAAUGGCCUAGAGGGCGACCGCAGUUCACCUCCUCCCAUCUGUUGGCUCAUGCAGCUUUCGCACGAAGGCUCGUUCUUUGUGCAGCUGAGGAGGAGCGCAUCAGUUAGACGGAGACAGGCUCGGGUGAUGCAGAGGAUGUAUUGUAUGUACAAGCUACCCUGCACUGACAUGCCAUUUGGGGGAGAGGGGUCAGAUUUGCGAGUUAAUGUAAAGAAGAGUUAUUUAUUGUUGCAUAAGAGCAUGAUAAUGCAAACUGGACUGAAUAUUUUUUUUGCAAAAGUGCCAAAAUCAGCACAAAAAAUUUUCAGUUUUUACAGCAGCUCGUUGUUGCUCUUUGACCAUAUGAUGACCUCGUUACUUACAGGCUGGUCUUUUCCUGUUUUGAACUAGUAGUUUGUCAGUGGGGUCUAAUCGAGGGUGUACAAAAAGCACUGGUAACAACAUACAGUAAGAAUGGCACAGGGACAUCAAGUUUCUUAAUAAAGAGCAUCAAGAGCAACUCUGGGGCUCCCUGGUGUGUCUAGAACUUUCCUGGUGGGCUGAAUCUCUUUUCUUCUAGAAUAUUCCCUCAGCAGUGUUUUUCAGUGACGGACACAGAGAACACAUCGUUCCAAAAUCUCCCACUGUUCAGCUGUGGUAGCUGCAGUCCACAGUGAAUAAAUAUUAAAGAAGCACCGACUGGAAUUUUGGCCAAUUCUGAUUUUCUUUCUAAGAACUGUUGUUCACAGCAUA